rnacentral:rRNA from 1 species
AAAGUCCCCUUCGGGGGACAAGUAGAGUGGCGUCCGGGUGAGUAACACGUAGGUAAUCUACCUUCGGGUGGGGAAUAACGCAGGGAAACUUGCGCUAAUACCGCAUAAUGCAGCGGCACCACAUGGUGACAGUUGUUAAAGCGGGGGAUUUUCGAACCUCGCGCCUGAAGAGGAGCCUGCGGCAGAUUAGCUAGUUGGUAAGGUAAUGGCUUACCAAGGCGACGAUCUGUAACCGGCCUGAGAGGGCGGUCGGUCACACUGACACUGACAUACGGGUCAGACUCCUACGGGAGGCAGCAGUCGGGAAUUUUGGGCAAUGGGCGAAAGCCUGACCCAGCAACGCCGCGUGAAGGAUGAAAUCCCUCGGGAUGUAAACUUCGCAAGAAUGGGAAGAAUGAGUAGGGGCUAAUACUCCCUAUGAUGACGGUACCAUUUGUAAGCUCCGGCUAACUCCGUGCCAGCAGCCGCGGUAAUACGGGGGGAGCAAGCGUUGUUCGGAUUUACUGGGCGUAAAGGGCGCGUAGGCGGCCAGCGCAAGUCAGUUGUGAAAUCUCCGGGCUUAACUCGGAACGGUCAACUGAUACUGCGCGGCUAGAGUGCGGAAGGGGCAACUGGAAUUCUCGGUGUAGCGGUGAAAUGCGUAGAUAUCGAGAGGAACACCUGCGGCGAAGGCGGGUUGCUGGGCCGACACUGACGCUGAUGCGCGAAAGCCAGGGGAGCGAACGGGAUUAGAUACCCCGGUAGUCCUGGCCUUAAACGAUGGAUGCUUGGUGUCUGGA